UACGUAGGGUGCAAGCGUUGUCCGGAAUUAUUGGGCGUAAAGAGCUCGUAGGCGGUCUGUCACGUCGGCUGUGAAAACCCGAGGCUCAACCUCGGGCCUGCAGUCGAUACGGGCAGACUAGAGUUCGGUAGGGGAGACUGGAAUUCCUGGUGUAAGCGGUGAAAUGCGCAGAUAUCAGGAGGAACACCGGUGGCGAAGGCGGGUCUCUGGGCCGAAACUGACGCUGAGGAGCGAAAGCGUGGGGAGCGAACAGG
rnacentral:rRNA from 1 species